rnacentral:rRNA from 1 species
UACGGAGGGGACUAGCGUUGUUCGGAAUUACUGGGCGUAAAGCGCACGUAGGCGGAUUUGUAAGUCAGGGGUGAAAUCCCGGGGCUCAACCUCGGAACUGCCUUUGAUACUGCAAAUCUCGAGUCCGGAAGAGGUGAGUGGGAUUCCUAGUGUAGAGGUGAAAUUCGUAGAUAUUAGGAAGAACACCAGUGGCGAAGGCGGCUCACUGGUCCGGUACUGACGCUGAGGUGCGAAAGCGUGGGGAGCAAACAGG